AAACUCAAGAGUUUGAUUCUGGCUCAGGAUGAACGCUGGCGGCGUGCUUAACACAUGCAAGUCGAAUGUAGCAAUACAUGGCGGACGGGUGAGUAACGCGUGGGCAACCUGCCCAUAUCUGGGGAAUAACAGUUGGAAACGACUGAUAAUACCGCAUAACAUGGAUUGAAGGCAUCUUCUUUCCAUCAAAGAUUUAUCGGAUAUGGAUGGGCCCGCGUCUGAUUAGCUUGUUGGUGAGGUAACGGCUCACCAAGGCGACGAUCAGUAGCCGACCUGAGAGGGUGAUCGGC
rnacentral:rRNA from 1 species